GGAGAGGUGCCAGAGUGGUUGAAUGGGACGGUCUCGAAAACCGUUGAACCCGCAAGGGUUCCGAGGGUUCGAAUCCCUCCCUCUCCGCCA
rnacentral:tRNA from 1 species